rnacentral:rRNA from 1 species
UGGGUUAGUGGCGGACGGGUGAGUAACGCGUGGAUAACCUGCCGUAUACAGGGGGAUAACACUUAGAAAUAGGUGCUAAUACCGCAUAAGCGCACGGUUCCGCAUGGAACAGUGUGAAAAACUCCGGUGGUAUACGAUGGAUCCGCGUCUGAUUAGCCAGUUGGCGGGGUAACGGCCCACCGUGCCGACGAUGCGUAGGGGUUCUGAGAGGAAGGCCCCCCACACUGGUACUGAGACACGGACCAGACUCCUACGGAAGGCAGCAG